rnacentral:sRNA from 1 species
UUUUAGCCCGGAUAGAAAUGGAAAUCCUGUCAUUGCGAGGCACGAAGCAAUCUGCUCACCGGAUUGCUUCGUGCCUCGCAAUGACAGAUUGUAAUGGAUAGCCGGACAAAUU